GCUUUCGCCGCGUCCACGCGCCGCUCAGGUGGCCCCACGAUCGCCAGUUGAGCUGGGGUCCAAUCGACCGCACGCCCCAGACCUGGCUCCUGGAGCACCGCGUUCCCAAUGGCCGGCGACCCCUGGCGGAGGGAGGAAGGGAAGGUCCCCGAUGACGGGAGACCCACGGCGGGGGCCAGUGGUCCCCUGCGCCUCCGAGACUGGCUGGUGGCACAGAUCGAGAGCGGGCGCUACGCGGGGUUGCGCUGGGAGGACGAGGGCAAGACUCUGUUCCGCAUCCCCUGGAAGCACGCGGCCAAGCAGGGUUACCGGGCGCAGCAGGACGCGGCGCUCUUCAGGGCCUGGGCCAUAUACAAGGGCAAGCACCUAGAGGGCACUGACAAGGAGGACCCCUCCACUUGGAAGACUCGGCUUCGCUGCGCCCUCAACAAGAGUGCCGACUUCUGGGAGGUGCGUGAGCGCAGCCAGCUGGACAUCUCCAACCCCUACAAGGUCUACCGGAUUGUGUCCGACGGUGCCCAUGGCCCAGUUGCCAGGGCUUGUUCUUCCUCUGAAGAGAAGGGCAUUCUCCAGAGCCAGCAGGAGCCCCCUCGAGAAGUGAUGGAGCCAGCCCGCAGGACAGACCAGGUUGGCUCCAGAUUAGCCAUAGAUGAUAAAGACAAGGAGCGGCCCCUCAGACUGGCCCAGCAGGGCUCAUCGCCACCAGCUGCCCUGCUCCCAGGCCCUUUGGCUGAUCACAGGUACCAGGCACAGGACCCCGUACACACCUGGAGUCUUGUGCCCUCUGAGGACUUCAGCAACCCGGAUUGCUGGCUGCACGUGCGACUGUUCUACGGAGCCGAGCUGGUGCGCGAAGCCACGGCGCACGCAGCGGAGGGCUGCCAACUGAGCCCGCGGGCAGCCGUCGCCUCCGCCGCGGAGCGCUUGCUGGGGCCGCCGCCGCGCAUCGCGCAGGUUCCUUUCCCCGAGCCGCCGCCCGGAGCCCGCGUGCUGCAGCGCCUGCUGCCGCACCUGGAGCGCGGCGUGUUGCUGUGGGUGGCGCCCGAGGGCGUGUUCGCCAAGCGCCUGUGCCAGGGCCGCGUGUACUGGCGCGGCCCGCUUGCCCCGCACCGCGAGCAGCCCAACAAACUGGAGCGCGAGCGCACCUGCCAGCUACUCGACACCCGCCGGUUCCUCGCAGGGCACAAGGCGGGCGCCCGGCGGGGUUCCCCAUCUUGGCCCAGCCCCUACAGUCUCAGUGCCCGUAGAACUGCAGGCCCACCUGCAGGACGGUCGCCGGGAGCCCGAGUACCAGAUCCGACUGUGCUUUGGUGAGGAGUACCCAGGCCCCCCGGACCAGCCCCAGGAGCGGCUCGUCAUGGCCCACGUGGAGCCUGUCUUUGCCCGAGAACUCCUGCUACACUCAAAGCACCACAGCCACGGUGCCCUGGCGGCUGGUCCCUAGUCCACAAAUCUCCA